rnacentral:rRNA from 1 species
UAGGGAAUCUUCCGCAAUGGGCGAAAGCCUGACGGAGCAACGCCGCGUGAGUGAUGAAGGUCUUCGGAUCGUAAAACUCUGUUAUUAGGGAAGAACAUAUGUGUAAGUAACUGUGCACAUCUUGACGGUACCUAAUCAGAAAGCCACGGCUAACUACGUGCCAGCAGCCGCGGUAAUACGUAGGUGGCAAGCGUUAUCCGGAAUUAUUGGGCGUAAAGCGCGCGUAGGCGGUUUUUUAAGUCUGAUGUGAAAGCCCACGGCUUAACCGUGGAGGGUCAUUGGAAACUGGAAAACUUGAGUGCAGAAGAGGAAAGUGGAAUUCCAUGUGUAGCGGUGAAAUGCGCAGAGAUAUGGAGGAACACCAGUGGCGAAGGCGACUUUCUGGUCUGUAACUGACGCUGAUGUGCGAAAGCGUGGGGAUCAAACAGGAUUAGAUACCCUGGUAGUCCACGCCGUAAACGAUGAGUGCUAAGUGUUAGGGGGUUUCCGCCCCUUAGUGCUGCAGCUAACGCAUUAAGCACUCCGCCUGGGGAGUACGACCGCAAGGUUG